GUACCCUCCUUUAGUUGAAACAUUCAAUUUCAGUUUGGAUGGAGAAAUCCCUAACCCACUGUCACUUAAUUUCGAAAUGAGGUUCUUGGAUUUUUGCAAAUUGGAGUUUCAGAGAAGAUUAGCUACUGGGGUAGCUUUGGUUGAAACCAGAAAUAAUGGAGACUUGAGGUUUGAGGAAUCUGCGUUUUUGAAGAUGUUGGAGAAGAGAGAAAUUAUUGGUUCAGUCCAAUUGAUAUCGGAGAUUGGAAUCUGAAUGGUUGACAGUGGUGGAAUGCAGAUACGUUGGAUUAGCUUCUAAUUUGGAAAAGAAGAAUUGGUAAGGGUCUGGGUAUCUUGAACAUGUAUUGUUGUGAUCUGAUUGUAUUAAGUUGAAGUUGUGGUUUGAUUGAAUAAGCGAAAUGAACUUUGGUUUGCAAUA